AUAAACCCGGGAAACUGGGUAUAAUACCCGAUAGAUCUCGGCUGCUGGAAUCCAUCGAGCUCUAAAGCUCCGGCGCCUGAGGAUGGGUCUGCGGCCUAUCAGGUAGUAGUGGGUGUAGCGUACCACAGCCUACGACGGGUACGGGUUGUGAGAGCAAGAGCCCGGAGAUGGAUUCUGAGACACGAAUCCAGGCCCUACGGGGUGCAGCAGGCGCGAAAACUUUACAAUGCCGGCAACGGCGAUAAGGGGACCUCGAGUGCCAGGUUACAAAUCUGGCUGUCGUGAUGCCUAAAAAGCAUUGCAUAGCAAGGGCCGGGCAAGACCGGUGCCAGCCGCCGCGGUAACACCGGCGGCUCGAGUGGUAACCGUUAUUAUUGGGUCUAAAGGGUCUGUAGCCGGCCGGAUAAGUCUCUUGGGAAAUCCAGCAGCUCAACUGUUGGGCUUUCAGGAGAUACUGUCUGGCUCGAGGCCGGGAGAGGUGAGAGGUACUUCAGGGGUAGGGGUGAAAUCUUGUAAUCCUUGAAGGACCACCAGUGGCGAAGGCGUCUCACCAGAACGGACCUGACGGCAAGGGACGAAAGCUAGGGGCACGAACCGGAUUAGAUACCCGGGUAGUCCUAGCCGUAAACGAUACUCGCUAGGUGUCGGCCACGGUGCGACCGUUGUCGGUGCCGUAGGGAAGCCGUGAAGCGAGCCACCUGGGAAGU
rnacentral:rRNA from 1 species